rnacentral:rRNA from 1 species
GAUGAACGCUGGCGGCGUGCCUAAUACAUGCAAGUCGAGCGAACGGACGAGAAGCUUGCUUCUCUGAUGUUAGCGGCGGACGGGUGAGUAACACGUGGAUAACCUACCUAUAAGACUGGGAUAACUUCGGGAAACCGGAGCUAAUACCGGAUAAUAUUUUGAACCGCAUGGUUCAAAAGUGAAAGACGGUCUUGCUGUCACUUAUAGAUGGAUCCGCGCUGCAUUAGCUAGUUGGUAAGGUAACGGCUUACCAAGGCAACGAUGCAUAGCCGACCUGGGAGGGUGAUCGGCCACACUGGAACUGAGACACGGUCCAGACUCCUACGGGAGGCAGCAGUAGGGAAUCCUCCGCAAUGGGCGAAAGCCUGACGGAGCAACGCCGCGUGAGUGAUGAAGGUCUUCGGAUCGUAAAACUCUGUUAUUAGGGAAGAACAAAUGUGUAAGUAACUGUGCACGUCUUGACGGUACCUAAUCAGAAAGCCACGGCUAACUACGUG